GGGUUGUGAGGUUAAGCGACUAAGCGUACACGGUGGAUGCCCUGGCAGUCAGAGGCGAUGAAGGACGUGCUAAUCUGCGAUAAGCGUCGGUAAGGUGAUAUGAACCGUUAUAACCGGCGAUUUCCGAAUGGGGAAACCCAGUGUGAUUUGUCACACUAUCAUUAACUGAAUCCAUAGGUUAAUGAGGCGAACCGGGGGAACUGAAACAUCUAAGUACCCCGAGGAAAAGAAAUCAACCGAGAUUCCCCCAGUAGCGGCGAGCGAACGGGGAGGAGCCCAGAGCCUGAAUCAGUGUGUGUGUUAGUGGAAGCGUCUGGAAAGGCGCGCGAUACAGGGUGACAGCCCCGUACACAAAAAUGCACAUGCUGUGAGCUCGAUGAGUAGGGCGGGACACGUGGUAUCCUGUCUGAAUAUGGGGGGACCAUCCUCCAAGGCUAAAUACUCCUGACUGACCGAUAGUGAACCAGUACCGUGAGGGAAAGGCGAAAAGAACCCCGGCGAGGGGAGUGAAAAAGAACCUGAAACCGUGUACGUACAAGCAGUGGGAGCACGCUUCGGCGUGUGACUGCGUACCUUUUGUAUAAUGGGUCAGCGACUUAUAUUCUGUAGCAAGGUUAACCGAAUAGGGGAGCCGAAGGGAAACCGAGUCUUAACUGGGCGUUAAGUUGCAGGGUAUAGACCCGAAACC
rnacentral:rRNA from 1 species